rnacentral:rRNA from 1 species
UGAGGAAUAUUGCACAAUGGGGGCAACCCUGAUGCAGCAACGCCGCGUGAGUGAUGAAGCAGUUUAUCUGUGUAAAGCUCUGUUGGGAGGGACGAAAUGACUGGUUAGUUGCCAGUUUUGACGGUACCUCCUGAGGAAGCUCCGGCUAACUCCGUGCCAGCAGCCGCGGUAAUACGGGGGGAGCGAGCGUUGUCCGGAUUUAUUGGGCGUAAAGGGCAUGUAGGUGGUCUUUUAAGUCAGUUGUUAAAACUAUCGGCUUAACCGGUAAUUGCAAUUGAUACUGGAGGACUUGAAUUUGAGAGGGGAUAGUGGAAUAUCAAGUGUAGCGGUGGAAUGCGUAGAUAUUUGAUAGAACACCUGAGGUGAAGACGACUAUCUGGCUCAUGAUUGACACUGAAAUGCGAAAGCAUGGGGAGCAAACAGG